UACAGAGGUCUCAAGCGUUGUUCGGAUUCAUUGGGCGUAAAGGGUGCGUAGGUGGCGGGGUAAGUCAGGUGUGAAAUCUCGAGGCUCAACCUCGAAACUGCACUUGAUACUGCCUUGCUAGAGUACUGGAGAGGAUAGUGGAAUUCCCAGUGUAGUGGUGAAAUACGUAGAGAUUGGGAAGAACACCAGUGGCGAAGGCGGCUAUCUGGACGGUUUCUGACACUAAGACUCGUAAGCGUGGGGAGCAAACAGG
rnacentral:rRNA from 1 species